AGUGAACGCUGGCGGUAGGCCUAACACAUGCAAGUCGAACGGCAGCACCGUAAGAGCUUGCUCUUACGGGUGGCGAGUGGAGGACGGGUGAGGAAUACAUCGGAAUCUGCUUUUUCGUGGGGGAUAACGUAGGGAAACUUACGCUAAUACCGCAUACGACCUACGGGUGAAAGCAGGGGGUCUUCGGACCUUGCGCGAUUGAAUGAGCCGAUGUCGGAUUAGCUAGUUGGCGGGGUAAAGGCCCACCAAGGCGACGAUCCGUAGCUGGUCUGAGAGGAUGAUCAGCCACACUGGAACUGAGACACGGUCCAGACUCCUACGGGAGGCAGCAGUGGGGAAUAUUGGACAAUGGGCGCAAGCCUGAUCCAGCCAUACCGCGUGGGUGAAGAAGGCUUUCGGGUUGUAAAGCCCUUUUGUUGGGAAAGAAAAGCAGCAGGUUAAUCCCCCGCUGUUCUGACGGUACCCAACGAAUAAGCACCGGCUAACUUCGUG
rnacentral:rRNA from 1 species